UUUAUAUGGGCCACUUCUGCAGAAUUUCGCUAAUAGCUAACUAUUUCGCUAUUAGCGAAAUGUGAGAAAUAUGCCUCUGCACCAAUGGAGUUGCUCCACGUGUCCCUUAUCCACUUGGCUUUCCUGAAGUUCGCUUCCAACUUCGCUAAUAGCGAAACUCCCUGUGAGUUUUUCAUCAAACAUGCCUAAACUAACACAUAAACUAGAUCAUUUUGAGCACUUAUCAUACCUUCAUCUUCAUCUUCAUCUUCAUGGUUGACAUUCAUCAAAAAUCCAGAAAAACCAAACAUUGAAAUUGAACCAAAAUCAUCACAAAACACUCGCAGCUCUCAGAUU
rnacentral:lncRNA from 1 species